UAGAGUUUGAUCCUGGCUCAGAAUCAACGCUGGCGGCGUGCCUAACACAUGCAAGUCGUACGAGAAAGUGGAGCAAUCCAUGAGUAAAGUGGCGACCGGGUGAGUAACACGUGACUACCUACCUUCUAGUGGGGGAUAACUCCGGGAAACCGGAGCUAAUACCGCAUAACAUCGCAAGAUCAAAGCAGCAAUGCGCUGGAAGAGGGGGUCGCGGCUGAUUAGCUUGUUGGCGGGGUAAUGGCCCACCAAGGCAAAGAUCGGUAUCCGGCCUGAGAGGGCGCACGGACACACUGGAACUGAAACACGGUCCAGACUCCUACGGGAGGCAGCAGUGGGGAAUUUUGGACAAUGGGCGCAAGCCUGAUCCAGCCAUGCCGCGUGCGGGAAGAAGGCCUUCGGGUUGUAAACCGCUUUUGUCAGGGAAGAAAUC
rnacentral:rRNA from 1 species